rnacentral:rRNA from 1 species
CGUCUAGGCGGGCCAGCCAGUCAGGUGUGAAACCCCCGGCUCAACCGGGGAUCUGCACUUGAUACUGCUGGUCUUGAGUACGAAAGAGGAAGGCGGAAUUCCUGGUGUAGCGGUGAAAUGCGUAGAUAUCAGGAAGAACACCGGUGGCGAAGGCGGCCUUCUGGUUCGAUACUGACGCUAAAGCGCGAAAGUGUGGGGAGCAAACA